rnacentral:rRNA from 1 species
UACGGGGGGAGCAAGCGUUGCUCGGAUUUACUGGGCGUAAAGGGCGCGUAGGCGGUCAGCACAAGUCAGUUGUGAAAUCUCCGAGCUUAACUCGGAAAGGUCAACUGAUACUGUGCGACUAGAGUGCAGAAGGGGCAUCUGGAAUUCUUGGUGUAGCGGUGAAAUGCGUAGAGAUGUGGAGGAACACCGAUGGCGAAGGCAGCCCCCUGGGCUAACACUGACGCUCAUGCACGAAAGCGUGGGGAGCAAACAGG